rnacentral:rRNA from 1 species
UACGUAGGGGGCGAGCGUUGUCCGGAAUUAUUGGGCGUAAAGAGCGUGUAGGCGGUUCGGUAAGUCUGAUGUGAAAGCCCGGGGCUCACCCCCGGAAGUGCAUUGGAGACUGAUGGGCUGGAGUCCCGGAGAGGAGGGUGGAAUUCCUGGUGUAGCGGUGAAAUGCGUAGAUAUCAGGAGGAACACCGGUGGCGAAGGCGGCCCUCUGGACGGUGACUGACGCUGAGACGCGAAAGCGUGGGGAGCAAACAGG